AAGUCGUAACAAGGUAACCGUAGGUGAACCUGCGGUUGGAUCAUUAAAAAAUCUAAUAAGAUUAGGUUCCUCCUCUCAAAGGGAGGUCCUAUAUCUUAAACACACAUGUGAACUGUAAUUGUCUCUGGCGGGAUCAAACAGAACGUACAAAUUCGUUUGUGCGUUUUGGCGGAACGAGUUUGGCAACAAACUUUCUACGCUCCCGCUGGUUAAUUCUUAAACUUUAUACUUAUUAACAUUGACUUAUACAUCAUUUCAUAUAAUGAAAAAACAACUUUUGACAACGGAUCUCUUGGCUCUC
rnacentral:misc_RNA from 1 species